rnacentral:rRNA from 1 species
ACGAACGCUGGCGGCGUGCCUAAUACAUGCAAGUUGAGCGAUGAAGAUUGGUGCUUGCACCAAUUUGAAGAGCAGCGAACGGGUGAGUAACGCGUGGGGAAUCUGCCUUUGAGCGGGGGACAACAUUUGGAAACGAAUGCUAAUACCGCAUAACAACUUUAAACAUAAGUUUUAAGUUUGAAAGAUGCAAUUGCAUCACUCAAAGAUGAUCCCGCGUUGUAUUAGCUAGUUGGUGAGGUAAAGGCUCACCAAGGCGAUGAUACAUAGCCGACCUGAGAGGGUGAUCGGCCACAUUGGGACUGAGACACGGCCCAAACUCCUACGGGAGGCAGCAGUAGGGAAACUUCGGCAAAGGACGAAAGUCUGGCCGAGCAACGCCGCGUGAGUGAAGAAGGUUUUCGGAUCGUAAAACUCUGUUGGUAGAGAAGAACGUUGGUGAGAGUGGAAAGCUCAUCAAGUGACGGUAACUACCCAGAAAGGGACGGCUAACUACGUG